CAAAAAAACAAAUCUGAGUUUUCGUGUUCAACGUUUAACCAUCCGUCUUAUUUGAUAAAAUUAUGAAAAAAAUUAAAAAGACAAGUCACGCAUUAAAUAUUAAUCAUGUUUUAUCAUCUAACAACAAUGAAAAUACUAAUUAUAAAAAAUUCAUAUAAGAGGAACAAUCAAAUGUUGAACACGAAAAACUAAGGUUUGUCUUUUU
rfam:Oryza sativa Japonica Group DNA, chromosome 7, cultivar: Nipponbare, complete sequence.